CCUACGGGCGGCAGCAGUGAGGAAUGUUGGUCAAUGGACGAGAGUCUGAACCAGCCAAGUAGCGUGAAGGAUGACUGCCCUAUGGGUUGUAAACUUCUUUUAUAUGGGAAUAAAACGUUCCACGUGUGGGAUUUUGUAUGUACCAUAUGAAUAAGGAUCGGCUAACUCCGUGCCAGCAGCCGCGGUAAUACGGAGGAUCCGAGCGUUAUCCGGAUUUAUUGGGUUUAAAGGGAGCGUAGGUGGAUUGUUAAGUCAGUUGUGAAAGUUUGCGGCUCAACCGUAAAAUUGCAGUUGAAACUGGCAGUCUUGAGUACAGUAGAGGUGGGCGGAAUUCGUGGUGUAGCGGUGAAAUGCUUAGAUAUCACGAAGAACUCCGAUUGCGAAGGCAGUUCACUGGACUGCAACUGACACUGAGGCUCGAAAGUGUGGGUAUCAAACAGGAUUAGAUACCCCUGUAGUC
rnacentral:rRNA from 1 species